AUUUAUUACAGUUUUUAUUUUAUGUACAAGACAUUACAUUAGUAUAAGACCACCCUUCCCAGAUCAAAUAUAUAUUACCAAGACAAGCCUGCACUACCUGUCCAUUAUCCCAUCACCAACAUUCGACCAUAUCAAGUGGUAAUUUUAUAUUGACAAGUACUGUAGACCAUAGUUGGUAUUUAAUUGAAUGUUUAAUGCAAACAUUUAGAAUACAAUCAAGACAGACUUGAGAAACAAACAGGAACAUUGAGGAGUUAAAAAAAAAACAUUUUAAAAAGUUAAAUCCUACAGCAACACAUUUGAAAACACGAAAUUAACAAAUGCAACAACCAGAGUGAUAUUGCAUGUCAGAGGCCUAAGCCUGCAGUCAUGGCAACACCUACAGUACCAUUAAAUUUGACCAAACAUUUUGGAAGUACCAAGUUAAAAAAAUGUUUGACCCCAAAUUACUGUACAUCAAAGCCUGUUAUGUCAUUACAUGCAACAUAUGUAAAUACCCACACUUAUACUGAAAUUACCAUUAAACAUUUUACACUUACAGAAUAGACUGGAAUAUUGCCCCCCACCCCCAAUCAGAGUAGUUCUACGGUUUACAGAUGGAUACCGUGCAAUUUUUCUCCUAGCAAGCUAAAUAAAAUUGCACCGUGAUCCACCCGACAACAGCAAAACAGCACAUUUUACAAACACUUUUAUCUGGUCAGUAGAGAGUCCUUUCUUCCUCCACAGGCCGGGACAAGUGCAAUACUAUUAGCAAGUUACAAGUAAUGCAACAAAUCCCCACCCAUGGGGGACUCAGUUUAGAUAUCUUAAAUAAGGUUUCAUAGCAUGGCACAGGUAAGUCAUGCCACAGUCAGUUUUGCAUGGAUUUGCACAGCAGGCAUAAUGAGCAGAAGCAAACCAGCAAAACUGACCGUAACAUGAAUUUAUCAAACAUGCAUGGAACUUCAGGAUGAAGAGUUU